ACAUCGCCUCUUGAUCAAAAUAUGAGAGGUCCAGCCUGCCCAGUGACCUAGUUCAACGGCCACGGUAUCCUGACCGUGCGAAGGUAGCGUAAUCACUUGUUCUUUAAAUGGGGACUAGUAUGAAUGGCAUCACGAGGGUUAAACUGUCUCCUUUUUCUAAUCAGUGAAAUUAAUCUCCCCGUGAAGAAGCGAGGAUAACUUUAUAAGACGAGAAGACCCUAUGGAGCUUAAAACGAAUUUACACCUGCUUUUUAUUUAUUUUACUUCCCGAAUUUGCACAAACAUUAUAGCACAAUUGACAUGUAGUUUUCGAYUGGGGUGAUCCUGGGGUAAAAAAUAACCCCCAGGACGACAAAGGGCCACCCUUGAGCCAAAAGCCACAACUUUAAGCACUAAAAAAUUAACGCAACUUGACCCA
rnacentral:rRNA from 1 species